rnacentral:rRNA from 1 species
AACGAACGCUGGCGGCAUGCCUAACACAUGCAAGUCGAACGAGACCUUCGGGUCUAGUGGCGCACGGGUGCGUAACGCGUGGGAAUCUGCCCUUGGGUUCGGAAUAACAGUUGGAAACGACUGCUAAUACCGGACGAUGACGUAAGUCCAAAGAUUUAUCGCCCAGGGAUGAGCCCGCGUAGGAUUAGCUAGUUGGUGGGGUAAAGGCCUACCAAGGCGACGAUCCUUAGCUGGUCUGAGAGGAUGAUCAGCCACACUGGGACUGAGACACGGCCCAGACUCCUACGGGAGGCAGCAGUGGGGAAUAUUGGACAAUGGGCGAAAGCCUGAUCCAGCAAUGCCGCGUGAGUGAUGAAGGCCUUAGGGUUGUAAAGCUCUUUUACCCGGGAUGAUAAUGACAGUACCGGGAGAAUAAGCCCCGGCUAACUCCGUG